CCUACGGGGGGCAGCAGUGAGGAAUAUUGGUCAAUGGGCGCGAGCCUGAACCAGCCAAGUCGCGUGAGGGAGUACUGCCCUAUGGGUUGUAAACCUCUUUUGUCGGGGAGCAAAAGCCGGACGUGUCCGGCUGUGAGAGUACCCGAAGAAAAAGCAUCGGCUAACUCCGUGCCAGCAGCCGCGGUAAUACGGAGGAUGCGAGCGUUAUCCGGAUUUAUUGGGUUUAAAGGGUGCGCAGGCGGAUUUUUAAGUCAGCGGUAAAAUCGUGGGGCACAACCCCAUCCCGCCGUUGAAACUGGGGAUCUAGAGUGUGCGAGAGGUAUGCGGAAUGCGUGGUGUAGCGGUGAAAUGCAUAGAUAUCACGCAGAACCCCGAUUGCGAAGGCAGCAUACCGGUGCACAACUGACGCUCAGGCACGAAAGCGUGGGUAUCGAACAGGAUUAGAUACCCAGUAGUC
rnacentral:rRNA from 1 species